CGCAGUUCAAUGAUUGGGAGAGUACUGAUCGACGUCUAUGUCCAAGUGAGCCGGGAGAGUGGGAACCGGUACAGGCUCGGUCACGAAGCGGACCCAUGAGAUGGUCUUCUGAAACAACUAGUAGGAAGACCCGGCUUACACCGUUAUUGUAUUGAAGUGGUUAAACCUAUGGUUUAGCAACGAGAGUGGUACCGCGAGCGCUAUUGUCCUCGUCUCUUAU
rnacentral:ncRNA from 1 species